AAAUUACUCCCUCCGUCCCAAAAUUCUUGUCUUAGAUUUGUCUAGAUACGGAUGUAUCAAUUACAUUCGUAUCUAGACAAAUCUAAGACAAUAAAUCUGGGACAGAGGGAGUAGUUG
rfam:Triticum urartu cultivar G1812 contig534202, whole genome shotgun sequence.